rnacentral:rRNA from 1 species
AUUGAACGCAAGCGGCAGGCCUAACACAUGCAAGUCGAACGAGUGGCGGACGGGUGCGUAAUGCCUGGGCAACUGUCUGAUGGAGGGGGAUCACUAAUGGAAACGGUAGCUAAUACCGCAUACCAUCGGAUGUGCCCAGAUGGGAUUAGCUAGUAGGUGGGGUAAAGGCUCACCUAGGCGACGAUCCCUAGCUGGUCUGAGAGGAUGACCAGCCACACUGGAACUGAGACACGGUCCAGACGCCUACGGGAUGCAGCAGUGGGGAAUAUUGCACAAUGGGAGCAAGCCUGAUGAAGCCGUGCGGCGCGUAUGAAGAAGGUCUUCGGGUUGUAAAUUGCUUAUGGCGGGGAGUCGUUACCCGCAGAAUAAGCACCGGUGAACACCUUGCCAGCCGCCGCGGUAAUUC